rnacentral:rRNA from 1 species
GACGAACGCUGGCGGCGUGCUUAACACAUGCAAGUCGAACGAUGAAGCAAAGAAUCGAAGCUUCGGCAGAAAUUCAUUUCGGAUUAGUGGCAGACGGGUGAGUAACGCGUGAGCAACCUACCUCUUACAAAGGGAUAGCCUCGGGAAACCGGGAUUAAUACCAUAUAACAUUGCGACGAAGCAUUUCGAUGCAAUCAAAGCUACGGCGGUAAGAGAUGGGCUCGCGUCCCAUUAACCGGAUGGUGAGGUAACGGCUCACCAUAGUGACGAUGGGUAACCGGACUGAGAGGGUGAACGGUGAGACUGGAACUGAGACACGGUCCCGACUCCUACGGGAGGCAGCAGUGGGGAAUAUUGCACAAGGGAGCGAACUCUGAUGCAGCGACGCCGCGUGAGUGAUGAAGGAAUUCGUUACGUAAUACUCUGUUCUAUGGGAAGAAAGGGACGGUACCAUAAGAGAAAGCUCCGGCUAACUACGUG